GAUGAACGCUAGCUACAGGCUUAACACAUGCAAGUCGAGGGGCAGCAUGGUCUUAGCUUGCUAAGACUGAUGGCGACCGGCGCACGGGUGAGUAACACGUAUCCAACCUGCCGUCUACUCUUGGACAGCCUUCUGAAAGGGAGAUUAAUACAAGAUGUUAUCAUGAGUAAGCAUUUUCGCAUGAUUAAAGGUUUACCGGUGUAAGAUGGGGAUGCGUUCCAUUAGAUAGUAGGCGGGGUAACGGCCCACCUAGUCUUCGAUGGAUAGGGGUUCUGGGAGGAAGGUCCCCCACAUUGGAACUGAGACACGGUCCAAACUCCUACGGGAGGCAGCAGUGAGGAAUAUUGGUCAAUGGACGAGAGUCUGAACCAGCCAAGUAGCGUGAAGGAUGAAGGUUCUAUGGAUUGUAAACUUCUUUUAUACGGGAAUAAACGAAUCCACGCGUGGAUUUUUGCAUGUACCGUAUGAAUAAGGAUCGGCUAACUCCGUGCCAGCAGCCGCGGUAAUACGGAGGAUCCGAGCGUUAUCCGGAUUUAUUGGGUUUAAAGGGAGCGUAGAUGGGUUGUUAAGUCAGUUGUGAAAGUUUGCGGCUCAACCGUAAAAUUGCAAUUGAUACUGGCAGUCUUGAGUACAGUUGAGGUAGGCGGAAUUCGUGGUGUAGCGGUGAAAUGCUUAGAUAUCACGAAGAACUCCGAUUGCGAAGGCAGCUUACUAACCUGUAACUGACAUUGAUGCUCGAAAGUGUGGGUAUCAAACAGGAUUAGAUACCCUGGUAGUCCACACGGUAAAAGAAAGAAUAAUCGCGGUAGGGGAUAAACAGUCUGCGGCCAAGCGAAAAACAUUAAGUAUUCCUCCUGGGGAGUACGCCGGCAACGGUGAAAUUCAAAGGAAUAGACGGGGGCCCGCACAAGCGGAGGAACAUGUGGUUUAAUUCGAUGAUACGCGAGGAACCUUACUCGGGCUUAAAUUGCAACCGAAUAUGGCGGAAACGCUAUAGCUAGCAAUAGCGGUUGUGAAGGUGCUGCAUGGUUGUCGUCAGCUCGUGCCGUGAGGGGUCGGCUUAAGUGCCAUAACGAGCGCAACCCUUGCCGAUAGUUACUAACAGGUCAUGCUGAGGACUCUGUCGGGACUGCCAUCGUAAGAUGUGAGGAAGGUGGGGAUGACGUCAAAUCAGCACGGCCCUUACGUCCGGGGCUACACACGUGUUACAAUGGGGGGUACAGAGGGCUGCUACCACGCAAGUGGAUGCCAAUCCCAAAAACCUCUCUCAGUUCGGAUUGAAGUCUGCAACCCGACUUCAUGAAGCUGGAUUCGCUAGUAAUCGCGCAUCAGCCACGGCGCGGUGAAUA
rnacentral:rRNA from 1 species